CUGUAUUAUGCCCACAUUGUAAUAUUAAACAAGUAAUUAUAAAGUUAAUGUUUUAGUUAUUAAUAACAUUUUUCAAACGUCAAAAUUGUAGAUAACACAAUCAUAUAAACAAGUCUAGACAUAUUAAAAGCACUAAAAAAACCAUUUGAAAAUUGAGUCGUGAAAAAUCAAUAUGGAACAUAAGAAUGUUCUCGUUCUAUGUAGGCGUGAUAUACUAUGACUGUCUUAGAUAAAGACAGAGACAUUCUACUCACCUCUGUCUACCUUGUGGUUAUCCCUAGCGAGUGUCGAGACCUGUCUAUACAGAGAUGAGUUUCUAUGAUCGAUCAUAUACAUAUGUAUAUAUAAGCAUGAUUCAGGGUAAUCUCCUCACCUCAAAAAGGCAAUAUGUACCAUUGAUCACAAUUUUAUUUAAUCUACUCUAGUUAUGCGAGAGAUAUUCAUAAUUUGGAAACACUACUACACUUUAUGUUAACAGUAAAAGAUUCAGUCUUUAUUUUUAUUUACUUAAAACAUAUCUCAAAUAUAUCUAAUUAUAAUUUUA